rnacentral:rRNA from 1 species
UACGUAGGGGGCAAGCGUUGUCCGGAUUUAUUGGGCGUAAAGAGCGUGUAGGCGGCCAGGUAGGUCUGGUGUGAAAACUCGAGGCCUAACCUCGAGAUGUCAUCGGAAACCAUCUGGCUAGAGUCCGGAAGAGGAGAGUGGAAUUCCUGGUGUAGCGGUGAAAUGCGCAGAUAUCAGGAAGAACACCAAUGGCGAAAGCAGCUCUCUGGGACGGUACUGACGCUGAGACGCGAAAGCGUGGGGAGCGAACAGG